ACAAACUGGUUUUGUCAUAGCCAUUGUCACCUUCUGGUCCCUGUCAGUAAGAUAUCCAAUAGGAAAGUUGAAGAAGAAAUAGGUACUAUGUAAACAUUGAACCAGGUUCUCUGACCAUAUCUAAUGUAUACAGUCCAGCAAAGGUGGCCCGGAUCUGCUCAACGACGCCAGGUUCACUGGGAAAGAACCUCUCCAGAACACCAGGUCUGGCCAGUUCCUGUUGGACCUUCUUGGUGCCGGCCAGAUGAACCGGGAAGUGGUCUGUGAAUUAGUCUUGAAUGUGUACAUACAGUACAUUCAACGGUACAAUGGCUACUGAGAAUAGAUUCCCAGCUUUAACAACCACAGGUAGACAGCUUUAGCCCAGGCACUGGUGAGAGGAAGAGUCUGAACGGUGUUGUAGGUCACCAUCUGCAACCAGACACGUGUAAAGGAGCUCUAACACUCUACAUCCUGACAUGGCUGCUGAACAAUGGCUGACCUGCUCAUUCUCACCUCUCAGUUGUUGACACUCUGAACUAAAUCCCUUAAGCACACCAUCUCAGGGGUCUAACCAUCUUAUAAUAGAAGAUUCCAUAGUAAUACCAUAUAUCAAGUAAUACGAUGUUAUAAGCAAGUUUUCUAUGGUAUUGAGGGGUGGAUGAGGACUCAUUUCAGUGACUGUAGAACAUUCUAGUAGUAUUUUACCCCAUGAUAUAUGUUAUUAAAUUAAAGUUACUAGCUAUAGCGUUUAGUCAUUGGUCAAUGACUGGCAGUUGCUGCCAUGCUGUCGUCGUCUUGGGUCUGUCUUUAUGUAGUGUUGUGUUGUCUCUCUUUAUGUAGUGUUGUGUUGUCUCUCUUUAUGUAGUGUUGUGUUGUCUCUCUUUAUGUAGUGUUGUGGUGUCUGUCUUUAUGUAGUGUUGUGUUGUCUCUCUUUAUGUAGUGUUGUGUUGUCUCUCUUUAUGUAGUGUUGUGUUGUCUCUCUUGUCAUGAUAUGUAUUUUGUCCUAUAUUUUUAUUUCAUAUAUUUUUGUUUUUAUUCCCAGCCCCCAUCCCAGCAG